rnacentral:rRNA from 1 species
UGUUUGGAGAGUUUGAUCCUGGCUCAGGACGAACGCUGGCGGCGUGCUUAACACAUGCAAGUCGAACGGUGAAGGGACCAGCUUGCUGGUUCUGGAUGAGUGGCGAACGGGUGAGUAACACGUGAGUAACCUGCCCCCUUCUUCUGGAUAACCGCAUGAAAGUGUGGCUAAUACGGGAUAUUCUGGGUCUGUCGCAUGACGGGCCCGGGAAAGAUGCGCCUUUGGGUGUUUUUGGUGGGGGAUGGGCUCGCGGCCUAUCAGCUUGUUGGUGGGGUGAUGGCCUACCAAGGCGGUGACGGGUAGCCGGCCUGAGAGGGUGGACGGUCACACUGGGACUGAGACACGGCCCAGACUCCUACGGGAGGCAGCAGUGGGGAAUAUUGCACAAUGGGCGCAAGCCUGAUGCAGCGACGCCGCGUGAGGGAUGGAGGCCUUCGGGUUGUAAACCUCUUUCGCCAGUGAAGCAGGCCCGCCUCGUUUGUGGGUGGGUUGACGGUAGCUGGAUAAGAAGCGCCGGCUAACUACGUGCCAGCAGCCGCGGUAAUACGUAGGGCGCGAGCGUUGUCCGGAAUUAUUGGGCGU